GACUCACUUCGUGGCAUUCAUGAGGAGGAGCACUUCUAUUCCAAACAUCAACUAUCAUUUACUCUAAACAAAGGAACUACAGAUGUGGAACUACUGGAGCCAAAGGCCAUUCUUUGCAUCAAAGCAUCAAACCGCUUGCUAUUACCAAGGUGACCUCUGAAUGACAGGGAAAGAGUCCCAUGUUUUCUUUGUGUAUGGGAGAGACUUCAAAGUCCGUGCUGAGGAGUAUCCUGCGGCCUGCUGUGGCUGCUGCCAAGUGAUGUGACUCAGCCUCAUCCUGCCCGGGACUGAUGUUUUUUUUCAUCAUUUCAUUAGACAAGACCACAGUAUACGUUUUUAGCUACAAACAGUGUGAUAAGCUCGAUAAUGUACCUUGAAUUGUGCAAAUAU